rnacentral:rRNA from 1 species
GACGAAGGAUCCAAGCGUUAUCCGGAUUUAUUGGGUUUAAAGGGUGUGUAGGCGGGCUUUUAAGUCAGUGGUGAAAUCUCCGGGCUCAACCCGGAAACUGCCAUUGAUACUAUUAGUCUUGAAUUUUGUUGAGGUAGGCGGAAUAAGUCAUGUAGCGGUGAAAUGCAUAGAUAUGACUUAGAACACCAAUUGCGAAGGCAGCUUGCUAAACAAAUAUUGACGCUGAGGCACGAAAGCGUGGGGAUCAAACAGG